GACGAACGCUGGCGGCGUGCUUAACACAUGCAAGUCGAACGGUGAAGCGCCUUCCUUUUUGGUGGGUGUGGAUGAGUGGCGAACGGGUGAGUAACACGUGAGUAACCUGCCCCCUUCUUCUGGAUAACCGCAUGAAAGUGUGGCUAAUACGGGAUAUUUUGGGUCUGCCGCAUGAUGGGUCUGGGAAAGAUAUUGUUUCGGUGGGGGAUGGGCUCGCGGCCUAUCAGCUUGUUGGUGGGGUGAUGGCCUACCAAGGCGGUGACGGGUAGCCGGCCUGAGAGGGUGGACGGUCACACUGGGACUGAGACACGGCCCAGACUCCUACGGGAGGCAGCAGUGGGGAAUAUUGCACAAUGGGCGCAAGCCUGAUGCAGCGACGCCGCGUGAGGGAUGGAGGCCUUCGGGUUGUGAACCUCUUUCGCCAGUGAAGCAGGCCUGCCUCGUUUGUGGGUGGGUUGACGGUAGCUGGAUAAGAAGCGCCGGCUAACUACGUG
rnacentral:rRNA from 1 species